rnacentral:lncRNA from 1 species
CUGGUAAGGAGAUGUUCAAAGAAACUUCCAGAGUAACUUGCAUCCUCUUGUUCAUUUCCUCCCUGUCUUCCUACAGGUGCCUCUGCUGCCCUUGUCUUCCCCAGACAGUCUCCCCAUCUCAGCCCUUUGAGGCCCCCAGAGAGGAAACCCCAUAUGCAGAAGUGGCCAAUGAGAGACCAAGGGAAAGAUUGGUCACCAUGACUAAAGAUGCCCAAAGAGUGACGUAUACUCAGCUGAACAUAAAAACCCUAAAAAAGGAGCAAACAGAUUCCAAGAAGAAACCUAUAGAGUCCAUAGUCUAUGCCACUGUGCCAUUGGAGUGAGGAUUUCACUACCUUUCAUGAAGAAAUUCUCUCCUUUCUUCUUCUCCUCUCCCUCACUCCUAUUAACUUGCAUACCUUCCCAGGUUCCCAUCACUGAGAAGCCAUGAGGACUAUUAGGGAUAUUUACUGGGGUUGUGCAAUGUAAAGAUAAUUUUAGUAUUGUGACUUAAAAUCUAAAUUGAAUUGUUCACCAGGGAAAACCCCAAAUAAUAAAAUACCCAAGUCAGCUGGAAAUUUAUGGUGA